ACGCUCGACACCUACGGGAGGCAGCAGUGGGGAAUAUUGGGCAAUGGGCGAAAGCCUGACCCAGCAACGCCGCGUGAGGGAAGAAGGUUUUCGGAUUGUAAACCUCUGUCCUCAGGGACGAAGGACGUGACGGUACCUGAGGAGGAAGCCCCGGCUAACUACGUGCAAGCAGCCGCGGUAAUCUGAGCGGGCUGGCAAGGC
rnacentral:rRNA from 1 species